UACGGGGGGGCAAGCGUUGUUCGGAAUUACUGGGCGUAAAGGCUCGUAGGUGGCCAACUAAGUCAGACGUGAAAUCCCUCGGCUUAACCGGGGAACUGCAUCCGAUACUGGAUGGCUUGAAUUCGGGAGAGGGAUGCAGAAUUCCAGGUGUAGCGGUGAAAUGCGUAGAUAUCUGGAGGAAUACCGGUGGCGAAGGCGGCAUCCUGGACCGACAUUGACGCUGAACGGCGAAAGUCAGGGGAGCAAACGGG
rnacentral:rRNA from 1 species